GCCCAUAUAACAUGGCCGAUCCCACUGCAGAAAUCGAGGGCUCCAAUUAGAGAUGGCCAUUCUUAAUUUUUUUAAUUUAUUUAACUUGAUUCAAUCCGUUGUACGUCAGAUUGAAGUAACUAUUUAAUAAAAUGGGUAGGAUUGGAUUUAGAUUUUUGAUUUAAUUAAUAAAUAGAUCAAGUUUUGGUUGACAAAUUAUCAAUCCACCUUGCAUCCGGUCCUACAUGUUCUUAUCUGACCCCAGCC
rnacentral:lncRNA from 1 species